rnacentral:rRNA from 1 species
UACGAAGGGGGCUAGCGUUGUUCGGAAUUACUGGGCGUAAAGCGCGCGCAGGCGGUUCUCCAAGUCAGUGGUGAAAGCCCGGAGCUCAACUCCGGAACUGCCAUUGAAACUGUUGAACUUGAGGACGAGAGAGGUGAGUGGAAUUCCCAGUGUAGAGGUGAAAUUCGUAGAUAUUGGGAAGAACACCAGUGGCGAAGGCGGCUCACUGGCUCGUAUCUGACGCUCAGGCGCGAUAGCGUGGGGAUCGAACAGG